rnacentral:rRNA from 1 species
UACGUAGGAGGCAAGCGUUGUCCGGAGUUACUGGGCGUAAAGGGCCCGCAGGCGGUGGAGUAAGUUUGGAGUGACAGUUCCCAGCUUAACCGGGAAAGGACUUCGAAAACUGCUCGACUUGAGGACUGGAGAGGAAGGCGGAAUUCCGGGUGGAGCGGUGAAAUGCGUAGAGAUCCGGAGGAACACCGACGGCGAAGGCAGCCUUCUGGAAAGUACCUGACGCUGAGGGCGAAAGCUAGGGGAGGCGAAGCAGG